CCCAGACUCCUACGGGAGGCAGCAGUGGGGGAUAUUGCACAAUGGGGGGAACCCUGAUGCAGCGACGCCGCGUGGGUGAAGGAGCGUUUCGGCGCGUAAAGCCCUAUCGGCAGGGAAGAAGGAGGACGGUACCUGACUAAGAAGCCCCGGCUAACUACGUGCCAGCAGCCGCGGUAAUACGUAGGGGGCAAGCGUUAUCCGGAUUUACUGGGUGUAAAGGGGGCGCAGACGGCAGCGCAAGCCAGGAGUGAAAGCCCGGGGCCCAACCCCGGGACUGCUCUUGGAACUGCGCGGCUGGAGUGCAGGAGGGGCAGGCGGAAUUCCUGGUGUAGCGGUGAAAUGCGUAGAUAUCAGGAGGAACACCGGUGGCGAAGGCGGCCUGCUGGACUGCGACUGACGUUGAGGCCCGAAAGCGUGGGGAGCAAACAGGAUUAGAUACCCCUGUACA
rnacentral:rRNA from 1 species